ensembl:lncRNA
CCGGGUUCUCUUUGCGGUUACUGUGCAGUCCUUCUGCACCUGCAUUCAUCUUUGUGUAAACAUACAAUAAAUAAUAUCUAUGGCAUAGUUGUAAAGUAUUUUCAAAUUCUGAAGAAAGCAGUGCUUUGUAAAUGAGGGACUCUUCUCUCAGUUGAGUGAACCACCUGAUAGAUGAUACAGAGGAAGCUAUUUCAUAUUUACUGUUAGUUUCCCCAUCAAUAAGAUGGGAAAUUUAUCUCUUCCAACAUAUUCUUGAAGAUACAUUGCUGGCAGGUAUACAUAUUGCAUGUGUUCUUGCUUCGUCUUAUUAUUAUUUUGUCGAGUACACCCUACUGUGAGACAUUGUUUUAGUGGUAGGCAAGUAUAUAUUUUUUUCAUACCUCUGUCUCAUUAACUGAAAAAAAUUAGGAGUGCUAUCAUGCUAAAGAGCAGCAUGUGUAGAAAAAAGUGGUGUUAUGGCUCAGGCAGGUGUAUUACAGAGCUUGGUCCGUAUCUACUAGGAAGGAUACCUAAACCAUAUCUCAUACAGCAUAUUUCCUGUUCUAAAGUUCCUGACUUGCUAACACAAAAGCACUGAAUUGUAGUUAUCAUUUUUCACUGAUGUCAUGUGUGCCUCAGUCCAACAACUGGAGGAAGAAGAAAAUACUAUUUGAAUGUGAAGUGCCUAGAUACUAUAUUGAUGGAUCCCACAGGAAAUUAGUCACUUCAUUUUCAGAUUGAGAUGUAAAUGUUGUGCAGUAAAUGGGGGCUAAUAACAGCACAAAAAGGAUAUGUAGCAUCUCAUUAGGUAAGCAUCAUCUAUCCUGUAGAGUAAAAGUGGAAAAAUAAUAGAGACUGUGUAAUUAAAGACAGUGUUGUAAAACACAAGUCUAGACUGGUCAAAUGAGGACUGCAAACAACUGUAGUUCCUGUAUUUACUGAUACUAGAGGAGCAGUGUUAAGGGAUGUUUUAAGGCUGUUGCCUUUGAGAGGCUCCAGAGCCAAGGGACUCUAUUACUGCUGCCUGUACACUGGAGCCCAGCCUGGUUCCCCCUGGAGACCUGGAUGUCUCUGUCACCACCAUUGGAUGCAACUGCAGUUCUCGUGUUUCCAGGUUCAGCCAGUAGUAAGGCAUGGCACAUAUCCCAGGGAGCCGUGCACAUCCACAUCCACGCGCAUGCACACAACAGUAGUAUGAGCCAGCAGUGUGCCUGUGUGGCAAAGGAGUCUAAUAGUAUUCUGGGGUGCAUUGAAAAGGGCAUGGCUAGCAGGUUGAGGGAGGUUAUUCUUCCCCUCUACUCCUCCCUGGUGAAGACACAUCUGGAGCACUGUGUCUAGUUCUAGGCUCCUCAGUUCAAGUAAGACAACAAACUUCUUAAGAGAGUCCUGUGGAGGGCCACAAGGAUGAUGAGGGGCCUGGAGCAUCUUUCUGAUGAGAAAAGGCUGAGAGACCUUGGCCAUUUCAGCCUGGAAAAAGAGAAUGCUGAGAGGGGAUCUUAUCAAUGCUUAUAGAUAUCUAGUGGGCAAGUAGAUGUCAAGGCUCUUUUCAGUGGUGCCCAGCAACAGGACAAGGGGCAACAGGCACAAACUGGAACACGUUCCGUCUGAACAUGUGACAGAAAUUCUUUACUUUGAGAGUGACAGAGCACUGGAACAGGCUGGCCAGAGAAGUUGUGGUGUGUCCUUCUCUGGAGAUAGUUAAAACCUGCCUGUGUGCUUAUCUGUGCAACCUGCUGUAGGGAACCUGCUUUAGCAGGGGGGGAGAUGGACUAGAUGGUCUCCAGAGGUCCCUUCCAACCCCUACAGUUCUGUGAUUCUGUGACAUGGCUGUCUACAUGGACUGCCACAGACUGGACACUGCCUUUGACAACACACUGAUGUGUGACCCUACCAGGUCACACAUAAAACCUCAGUACAGUCACUCAUCUCCUCUGGCUGGUUGUGACUGCAGCUCACUAGUGAAAAUACAUGUGCCUUCACUUCCUAGAUGCACAAGCUUGCACACAUUGUCAGCUGCCUCGAAUAUCAGCACAGGCACUCAGCCUGUCUGAUACCCCUGCCUGGAUACUGGGCCUUCUCACCUGCUCUGUGGGUCUGCUACUCCCCAGCUAGCCCUGCCUGACAAAAUCCAAACAGGUGCAUUUUCCCAUCUCUUAAGCACUGAACACUCACAGAGCCUUUGAGCAUCAGGCUGGACUCUGAGCCUCGCCAGUGAGACCCUGAGCCUCUUGCUCACUGUGAAGUCCAGGCUGAUGUUUGCUAAUCAACUACACAUAGGCACAAAAAUCAGACUAGGAGAAAAUAAAAAUGUACUGGUCCCAAAGUUGCUGAUGCUGAAACCCUCACUCAGCCCACUUGCUGUCAGCACGGACGUGGAGACUGAUGUCACCCCAAGUCUGUCACCAGCUGAUAGCUCUUAAUUCACUUGCUCUACUCUCUGCAGUGGAGGGUAUCUAGAAUUUCCAGCACUCACAGGGUGUCAAGAAUGAGAUUUACAUGGAAAGAUAGUUAAAAAGGAUUUAAUUAGAAAAUGGGAUUGACUGUAGUGAUCAAAUGCAGUGUAAGUUAGAUAAGUGAACUGACUUGUGGCUGCUUGCACGUGGCAGGUCCCCUUUGUUCUUCCUCCUCGCUGUGCGCCUUGUUCCUCCCCAGUUCGCCCUUUUUCUGUCUUUCAGCCUUUCUCCUAAACAUUUCUUAAUAAACUAUGCAUAGUCCCAUAGGCCCCUUCAAGUAUCCGUAAUCCAGUUGAACUUGUUUCUCCCUUCUUAUUAGUUACAAAGUCCAGAUUGGUGAUAUCCAAAGCUAUGCCUAUAGUUUCUUAAUGGACCAUCAAUUAGUGACUGGGGAGCUUUAGUCCUUGCUGUAAUCUCUGUUAUGCUUGCUGUGGGUUUUGUUUAUUGCUUUCUCUGUUACUUGUGAUUCCCUUUGAAGUGAAAAGGUCCUUGAUCUGAUAAUGCUAAUGAAGCAAAUACUCUCACAUUCCACAUACCCUUAUAGAUUGGCCAUGUAACCUUAGUAAUGACAUAUUAAUGUAUGGUCAUGGAUCUGUUGUUUUACUAUUUUCUUUUUAACACAUGUAUGUCAAGAAAAAGGCUGCUACUGCCCAAGCCAAGUAGAAGAGAGAUUGCAGAAAGUUCCUUGAUUCUUGCUUGCAGUAGAGAAUACUGGAAGAACUAGUCAGUGCAUACAAGCCCCUGCACAUACUGAUUUUAGAUGGGGAUAUGCUUCAUUUGCUUUCUAUGCAUUUAUGGCCUUUCUAGAAUUAAUUACGCACAGUGCUAAGGGUUAUUGGUUAGUCAUGGACUGGGAGAAGCUAGGAUUUCAAAAAAGGUAGAUUCUUGAUAAUGAGGAAACAUAUUCUUUUGAUUUCUAGGUAGAAAAGUAUUAUAUAUGCUCUUGACCACAGCUUCUGGGCUGAAGUAUUAUUUUGCUUUCCUAUUACUGACAUAACUUACAUAACUAACUUACAUCAGAUUGGGCCACUUUGUUAUAGUAGGACCAUAAUUUUAUUAUGGUCUCCAUUAUGAUUAGCACCUUUUAAAGAGGUGGUGAAAGAUUCUUAUAGAGGAAUGCCAUCCUUAGUAUAACACAAUUCUGCAGUAGGAAUUUUUCAUUAUUAUUUCUGUUUCUAUGCUUGGCCAUUUCUAAUACUAUUAAAAAAUUCUAUGAAUUAAGCUGAAUUUUAAAUAGCUGCAUACAGAAGAGCAGACCUGGGUAUCUUUGCUAAUCAGAAAUAUUUUGUACUGCCAAUAGUCUAAUCCCAGAAUGCGAGUAAAAUUUCUUAGCUCAGAAAUGUCCCUUGUUUGAAUCAGGCAGUAAUGAGGAAGAGAUUGCUUUCACUCUCUUUUUUCUUUUUACUUCAGCCGCUGUAAGAGCCUUAUAUUUUGUGCAGACAUCAACUGGUCCUAACAAAGCAAGCCUGGGAAAUGCUUCAGAGCAUAGCGAGUUAGAGGCAGUGAUAUCUGAUGUCUUUGUAAAUGACCUGAAAUAUGAGCUGAAUCUCAUAUUUAUCAAACCUACCACUAUUACACUAAAAGAGAUUAGAAAGAGUGGAGGGUAAAGUAAAAUCUGAGAUGUGUGAAGGUUUGGAAAAUUGGACCAAAUUGGAAUAGAUAGUAGAUUGUCAUUGUAGAUAAACGCGAUCACACGGGAGUGUACUUGUGUCUGGAACCAGCACACCAAACAAUGCUAUGCUAAACUAUAAGACGCAGAAGGACUUUGGAGCAGUUUGUGAAAGUAUCCAGCAGAAAGAUAUAGUUUAAAAGUGAAAGAAUCAUUACUUAGCCUAUAAUAAUACCAGCUAGGCAAUAUGCUAAAGCUUGCAGAAGAAUUUUGGUUCCAUGUUUACCACCCUAUUUGCAGUCAAAGAUUUUCACACACCACGAUUUUGACGCCUGGUCAUUUUUCUUUGUUUCUUCUCUAGAAGAAGUGAUAUUGAUUCUCCCUAUACUUUUUAUUGUUUAAUUGAACGGGGUUAUUACCUAUUAGUCUGGAAUACGAAAACUGAAAAACUUAAAUGAAUAUCCAUCAGUGAGCACUGUGUGUUUUACAUUUCAUGGCUCCUUCAGCAUAGCAAUGAAGCAUUUAUUGCUUUGGGUUUUCACGCUAAACUUAUCAAGGACACAGGAGACAGACUUAAGUUUUACCUCUUGAAUGUUGUUCAGUCUAUCGAAUGUGCAAUAUGGUGGGAUUUACAAGGCAUUUUUAUAGCAAACUUUGCAUCAGAGAAUUUCUGACUGAACUGUACAUACAGUAUUAUAAGCAUAUUUCAAACUUCUGGGAAGAUAGAAAUUUUACAUACUGUUCUAGGAACUAAUACAGACUCCAAGAGUAUGAAGAGUUUAGAGACCAACUAGAAAGCAGUCUGCAUGUGGAUUCAAGAGUUAAAUUUCUUGUUCACCUAAUUAAACAUUACUUAGCAAGGGAGGAUCAGCAGCAUGAAGUAAAAGAAGAUGGGCUCUGAGUAGGUACUGGUCCCAUCCCUAGGCUCCACAUACAAGGGAGACAGGAGAGGCUGAAGUAGUUUUGAGCCUCUGCAGCAGAGACUGCUUGUCUGCAAGGGUGUGAGUCUGAAGCCAUUACUGCUGUAUAUAAGUACCUGUUCUAUUCUCGAAGUUGCCUGUAUAGCCUUAAUUCUUUUAUUCUGUGGAUAUUUAAUAUGGGGAGCAGUCUCUAAUGCUGUAGAUCGUUACUGCUUUGCAAAUGGUGCAGUAUUUUUAUAAAACUUUACAAAACUGUAGGGUUAUAAAUUCCCUCGUGUUUUCUAUGGCAGCUGGCUUUUCUCCUCUGCACCAGUGCAGGGGUUUCUGCUCUGUAGGCUGAAACUCUGAAAUAACAUGUCAAAAAGAAAGGCUUUCAAAAAAGACAAGGAUGGGAAAAAAUAAUGGGAGGCUGCGUGAAAGCAGAGGAUUGUUAAGCUGUCUUUGACCAAAGAAAACAUAUUUCACUUUGGUGGAUCAUAAAAUAUCUGGUAUAUCAUAAAAGCAGACUACACAAGUAGAGUGGUGUGUGUUACAUUUGUACAGCAUGCUACACAUGAAGUGUAACAACAAAAAGUAGUAUGAAAAAGCAGCAAACUGAAACUGGAAAAAAAAAUGCUGAUAUUUAGGCCAACCUCAGCUUCUUUUUAAGUAGAUUUUGUGGUUAAUUGCAUCAGCCCUAGAUUGCACCUAAGGAGGGCUGCAUUGCAUGUGUUUGUGUAGCUCAUUUAUCUUCAUUGUUAACUACUUGAUCUUUUGCGUUGUAUCUAAGUAAUUUUUAAUAGGGUAAUUAUAAUGUCUGGGUAUUCCACAAUUUUUAACAUAUGUUUUCCUUAGAUGAAGAAGAUUUAUCAUUUUAAACUGCCAAAUAUAAUGAACUAAGCCAUGGGAGAAAAACAUACUACAAAAAUAUCAAGAAAAAGCAGAGAUUGAAAAGUAUUAUGUGUGUUUCCUACAUUUAAAGAUCAUAGGAAAAGCUGUAUAUUAUAUGUAUUAUUUGAAAAUAAUAUAAAUUCUCCACAGUCAGCCAAGACCAAACAUAGAGCUUUAAUAAGGACAUUAUCCAAGUUGAGUGCUUAGGUUUGUAGAAUUAAUAGUCUGUGUUCAUUUAAUGAACCGUAUGUAUUUGUAAAAUAGAUAAGCAAGCUGUAGUUCUCUUUUACAUUAUUAUAUCUCAAUUUAGGAUAUACAAUGGAGAAAAAAUGUGUUAUCUAAGAUAGAAGAAAACCACACAGAAAUAGAGAAGGAAUGAAUCUGUGGUUCAAUUCUUUUUCUGUUGCCUCAACUGAAGACUGCUUUUCUUUUUCAAGAUCUUGCCCGUCUUCUGAGUCCUCAGUGCACAGAUGGUACCUCCAUCCUCUCAGCCUCUGGUACUAGCUUCCAGCACCCAUUUGCUACAUUUUCAGAUGAAUAUGUUUGUGCUUUUUCCCACAGUGCCCUCCACAGCUCUCUAUGGAGUAGUUUUUCUAUCUUCUUCCCUUCUUUCUCCUUUGCCAUAAUGCUGCCCAAAAGCUCGGCAACAGAUAGAUCAGUAGUGUGCUAAGAGAACUGCCUACUGUGCUGACUAAUGUGUCUGUGUACUCUCACGUCAAUCUGCCUAUUUUCUCAUCUGUUUUCUCUUUUCUUAAAAGAGCAGCAAUUUGAUGCAGGGAUUCAGGCCCCAUCUGGAGUACGGCAUCCAGGCCUGGGGCCCCCAGCACAAGAAAGACGCAAAGCUCUUGAAACAGGUCCAGAGGAGGGCCACUAAGAUGAUCAGAGGGCUGGAACACCUCUCCUGUGAAGGCAGGUUGAGGGAACUGGGAUUGUUUAGCUUGGAGAAGAGAAGGCUCCGGGGAGACCUCACUGUGGCCUUCCAGAACUUGAAGGGAGCAUAUAAACAGAAGGAGGAACAGCUGUUUACGAAGGGUGAAGACCAGUAACUUGAAACUGACAGAAGCACAAUUUGUUGGCUUGGGGUUUUUUUCUGAAGUCUUCUUCUGAGACAGACAAGCUUGAUUUAAAGACAUCAAGAAAUGAGGACUGAUCCCCUUCUCUGGUCAUUUAUUCCAGUACUCAGUCACUCUCACUGUUAGAAACUUGCAUUAUUUUUUAUUUCAGUUUGACUAGAUUUAACUUUAAACCAUUAGUUCUUGGUAUGCUUUUCUUCACGAGAUUAUAGAAGUCCCUCACUAGCCAAUAUUUUCUGUCUGUGAAAGCAUUUGAACACUGUAAUCAAGCUGCAAUGCACCCUCCCACUUGGUAUCCUAAGAACUCUCUCUAAAUUGUUUGCUUUAAGUCAUUUUCUACAGUCUUCAAACUGUUUUUAUGGCUCUCUUCUAUCUUCUGUCAAUGUUUAUUUUUGUUACACCUUUGGAGAACAGGAGUGCACGGACUGCACACAAACUUCAUUUAAAAUCUCAGCACUUUCAUACACACACCAUUGCUUAUAGCUACUUUUUGCCAUAGAACUGUAUAGAGACGCCAUGUUGAAUUACAUGCAAUACAAUUACCUGUAGUUAAUCUUGACAUUUAUAGCUUUCCAGCAUAUAGUCCCCGGUUCUGUCCUUCUUGUUCUUCCGUGUCUGAGCUUUUGUUUGACAGUAUUAACAUUAAUGUUCUUGUACUGUGUCUGGGUCAGUAAAUGAUGGAUUGUUUCACAUGCCUGUACUGCUUUCAUUAAUAACUGCUGUCUGCUAACCCUGG